rnacentral:rRNA from 1 species
GACGAACGCUGGCGGCGUGCCUAAUACAUGCAAGUCGAACGCACAGACUAUACCGUAGCUUCCUUCACCAUAACCUGUGAGUUGCGAACGGGUGAGUAACGCGUAGGUAAUCUGCCUGGUAGCGGGUGAUAACUAUUGGAAUCGUUACCUAUUACAGCAUAAUCUUGAUUAUUGCAUGAUAAUUGACUGACUGAUUCUCUUGCAUCACUACCAGCUCGACCUGCGUUGUAUUAGCUAGUAGGGCAGGUAACGGCUCACCUAGGCGACGAUACAUAUCCGACCUGGGAAGGGGAACAGCCACACUGGGACUGGGAAACGGCCCAGACUCCUAAGGGGGGCAGCAGGAGGGGAACUUCGGCAAUGGACGAAAGGCUGACCGGGCAACGCCGCGGGAGGGAAGGAGGGUUUCGGAUCGUAAAGCUCUGUUUUAAGGGAAGGACGGAUGGGGGAGUUGAAAGUGCACACUGUGACGGUAUCUUACCAGAAAGGGACGGCUAACUACGUG